ACACUCACAUUAAAACUUGUGAAGAGUUAAAAGCCCCAGGGAAGAGCCAGGCCAAGGGCACGGGUCAGCGCCGGCUUAAAAGACCCUCUCAGGGCACGAGGCGUUCGCUGCGGGAAUCCACCUGCAGCUGUGCGGCGCGGACCAGGGCGUGCGGCGCGGACCAGGGCUUCCGGCGCGCGCUCUAUCCAACUGCGCCGCGGGCGCCCGAGAGGCGCGCGUUUACUGCGCUCAGGAGCUCGGUGCAGCCUCUUCUGGAGAGUUGGGGGCGGUUUCCAGGGUCCGGAGUGUCCCCUGACCCCGGGAAAGCUGGAACAAAAGUAAAAAUCUUCACUAACAAAAUGAAGAUCUUGCUAAUUAUAUUUGUCCUAAUCAUUUGGACUGAAACAUUGGCAGACCAGAGCCCAGGGCCAGGCCCUGUGUAUGCAGAUGUCGUGUUUCUGGUGGACAGCUCCGAUCACCUGGGACCUAAGUCAUUCCCAUUCGUGAAAACGUUCAUCAACAAAAUGAUCAACAGUCUCCCCAUAGAGGCCAACAAAUACCGUGUAGCCCUGGCCCAGUACAGCGACGAGUUUCACAGUGAAUUCCAUCUGAGCACCUUCAAAGGCAGAAGCCCCAUGCUGAACCACCUCAAGAAGAACUUUCAGUUCAUUGGCGGGUCCCUGCAGAUAGGAAAGGCUCUUCAGGAGGCUCAUAGGACCUACUUCUCUGCACCCAUAAAUGGGAGAGACAGGAAACAGUUUCCCCCAAUUUUGGUGGUCCUGGCUUCGGCUGAGUCUGAGGAUGAAGUGGAAGAGGCUUCGAAAGCCCUGCAGAAAGACGGGGUGAAAAUUAUCUCCGUGGGGGUGCAGAAAGCUUCUGAGGAAAAUCUGAAGGCCAUGGCCACAUCCCAUUUCCAUUUCAACCUUCGGACAAUCAGAGACCUCAGCACAUUUUCCCAAAACAUGACACAGAUCAUCAAGGAUGUAACCAAGUAUAAGGAGGGAGCCGUCGAUGCUGAUAUGCAAGUUCACUUCCCCAUAUCCUGUCAGAAAGAUUCACUCGCUGACCUCGUGUUCCUGGUGGAUGAGUCACUUGGGACCGGAGGAAAUUUAAGGCAUCUUCAGACCUUCCUUGAGAACAUUACCAGCUCCAUGGAUGUGAAGGAAAAUUGCAUGCGACUUGGACUGAUGAGUUACAGCAAUAGUGCCAAGACUAUUUCUUUUCUUAAAUCAAGCACAACCCAAUCUGAAUUUCAGCAGCAAAUCAAGAAUCUUUCUAUCCAAGUUGGGAAAUCCAAUACAGGGGCUGCCAUUGAUCAGAUGAGAAGAGACGGCUUCUCAGAGUCAUAUGGCAGCAGAAGAGCACAAGGAGUGCCUCAGAUUGCAGUUCUGGUCACCCACAGACCAUCAGAUGAUGAGGUGCAUGAUGCUGCGCUGAACCUUCGACUGGAGGAUGUAAACGUGUUUGCCUUGAGCAUCCAAGGGGCUAACAAUACCCAGUUAGAAGAAAUAGUGUCUUAUCCUCCAGAACAGACAAUUUCCACGCUGAAGUCCUAUGCAGACUUAGAAACUUACAGUACAAAGUUCCUGAAAAAGCUCCAGAAUGAAAUAUGGUCCCAAAUUUCUACUUAUGCUGAACAAAGGAAUCUUGAUAAAACUGGCUGUGUGGAUACAAAAGAGGCUGAUAUCCACUUCCUCAUUGAUGGCUCAAGCAGCAUCCAGGAGAAACAGUUUGAGCAAAUCAAGAGAUUUAUGUUGGAAGUGACAGAAAUGUUUAGCAUUGGCCCAGACAAAGUCCGAGUUGGAGUUGUGCAGUAUUCAGAUGACACAGAAGUGGAAUUUUAUAUCACUGACUAUUCUAAUGAUAUUGACUUAAGAAAGGCUAUUUUUAACAUUAAGCAACUAACUGGUGGAACUUAUACUGGGAAAGCUCUGGAUUACAUACUGCAAAUAAUAAAAAAUGGAAUGAAGGAUAGAAUGAGCAAGGUUCCCUGUUACCUCAUUGUGUUGACUGAUGGGAUGUCCACAGACAGAGUCGUGGAACCUGCUAAGAGACUAAGGGCUGAGCAAAUCACUGUUCAUGCAGUUGGCAUUGGGGCAGCUAAUAAAAUAGAACUGCAAGAAAUUGCUGGGAAAGAAGAAAGGGUUAGCUUUGGGCAGAACUUUGAUGCUUUGAAAAGCAUAAAAAAUGAAGUCGUUCGUGAAAUCUGCGCUGAAAAAGGAUGUGAAGACAUGAAGGCCGACAUCAUGUUUCUGGUGGACAGUUCUUGGAGUAUAGGAAAUGAAAAUUUUAGGAAAAUGAAAAUCUUCAUGAAAAACCUGUUAACUAAAAUUCAAAUUGGUGCAGACAAAACCCAGAUUGGUGUUGUUCAGUUCAGUGAUAAAACUAAGGAAGAGUUCCAGCUUAAUAGAUAUUUUACACAGCAAGAAAUUUCUGAUGCAAUAGAUAGAAUGUCUCUCAUCAAUGAAGGCACUUUAACUGGAAAGGCACUAAAUUUUGUAGGUCAAUACUUCACCCACUCCAAGGGGGCCCGUUUGGGGGCCAAAAAAUUUCUCAUCCUCAUCACAGAUGGAGUAGCGCAGGAUGAUGUGAGAGAUCCUGCUAGAAUUCUUCGGGGCAAAGAUGUGACCAUCUUCUCUGUAGGAGUAUACAAUGCCAAUAGAUCUCAGCUAGAAGAGAUCAGUGGGGAUAGCAGCCUAGUUUUUCAUGUUGAGAACUUCGAUCAUCUAAAGGCACUAGAAAGGAAACUUAUCUUUCGUGUGUGUGCUCUCCAUGAUUGUAAAAGGAUUACACUACUAGACGUUGUGUUUGUGCUGGAUCAUUCAGGUAGCAUAAAAAAACAAUAUCAAGAUCACAUGAUUAACCUAACUAUCCAUUUGGUGAAGAAAGCAGAUGUUGGCAGGGACCGAGUUCAGUUUGGAGCCCUCAAAUACUCUGACCAACCUAACAUCCUUUUCUACCUUAAUACAUACUCGAACAGAUCAGCAAUAAUUGAGAAUCUGCGGAAGCGCAGGGACACUGGAGGGAACACCUACACUGCCAAGGCUCUCAAGCACGCAAAUGCCCUGUUUACAGAGGAACAUGGCAGCCGCAUCAAGCAAAAUGUGAAGCAGAUGCUGAUUGUCAUCACCGAUGGGGAAUCCCAUGACCAUGAUCAGCUCAAUGACACAGCAUUGGAACUGAGAAACAAAGGCAUCACCAUCUUUGCAGUGGGUGUAGGAAAGGCCAACCAAAAGGAACUUGAGGGUAUGGCAGGGAAUAAAAACAAUACUAUCUAUGUAGAUAAUUUUGACAAACUGAAAGAUGUUUUCACACUUGUUCAAGAACGUAUGUGUACUGAAGCACCAGAGGUCUGUCAUCUUCAGGAAGCUGACGUGAUUUUCCUUUGCGAUGGCUCUGACAGGGUAUCUAAUUCAGAUUUUGUAACCAUGACAACUUUCUUGUCAGACUUAAUCGAUAAUUUUGACAUUCAGUCUCAAAGAAUGAAAAUUGGUAUGGCUCAAUUUGGAAGCAACUACCAGAGUAUUAUUGAGUUGAAAAACUCUCUGACUAAAACCCAGUGGAAGACUCAAAUUCAGAAUGUCUCCAAGAGCGGUGGAUUUCCAAGAAUUGACUUUGCCCUUAAAAAAGUGAGCAAUAUGUUUAAUCUACAUGCUGGUGGGAGAAGAAAUGCUGGUGUCCCCCAAACUUUGGUUGUUAUCACAUCUGGAGAUCCUCGCUAUGAUGUGGCAGAUGCAGUAAAAACCCUGAAGGACCUUGGAAUUUGUGUCCUGGUUUUGGGCAUAGGAGAUGUUUAUAAGGAACAUCUCCUGCCAAUAACAGGCAAUUCUGAAAAAAUAAUCACUUUUCAAGACUUUGAUAAAUUAAAGAAUGUGGAUGUGAAAAAAAGAAUCAUCCGUGAAAUCUGCCAGAGCUGUGGGAAAACCAAUUGCUUUAUGGACAUAGUGGUUGGGUUUGACAUCUCCACUCAUGUGCAGGGGCAGCCUUUGUUCCAGGGCCACCCCCAGCUGGAAUCCUACCUCCCAGGCAUCUUAGAAGACAUCAGCUCUAUCAAGGGGGUGAGCUGUGGGGCUGGCACAGAGGCACAGGUGAGCUUGGCGUUUAAGGUGAACAGUGACCAAGGAUUCCCUGCCAAGUUCCAAAUCUAUCAGAAAGCAGUGUUUGACAGCUUGCUGCAAGUCAACGUCAGUGGGCCAACUCAUCUGAACGCACAGUUCUUGCGGUCUCUUUGGGACACAUUUAAGGAUAAAUCUGCAUCCCGGGGCCAGGUGCUGCUUAUUUUUUCAGACGGUCUCCAGAGUGAAAGCAACAUAAUGCUUGAAAAUCAAUCAGACAGGCUCAGAGAAGCAGGACUUGAUGCUCUGCUGGUAGUGUCCCUUAACACAACUGCUCAUCAUGAGUUUUCUAGCUUUGAAUUUGGAAAAAGAUUCGAUUACAGGACUCAUCUGACUAUUGGAAUGAGAGAACUGGGCAAAAAACUAUCACAGUACCUGGGAAAUAUUGCAGAGAGGACUUGCUGCUGUACAUUCUGCAAAUGUCCAGGAAUUCCAGGACCUCAUGGGACCCGAGGACUACAAGCCAUGAAGGGUUCUCAAGGUCUGAAAGGCAGCAGAGGACACAGGGGAGAGGAUGGAAACCCUGGAGUACGAGGAGACACAGGACCCCAAGGAGACAAAGGGAUUGCAGGAUGUCCAGGGGCGUGGGGUCAGAAGGGACUCAAAGGAUUUUCUGGACCUAAGGGAGGUCAUGGAGACGAUGGGAUUGAUGGACUUGAUGGGGAAGAGGGCUGUCAUGGAUUUCCUGGAAUAAAAGGAGAAAAAGGUGAUCCAGGAUCUCAGGGCAGCCCAGGUUCCAGAGGUGCCCCUGGGCAGUAUGGAGAGAAGGGCUUCCCAGGGGAUCCGGGUAAUCCAGGACAAAACAAUAACAUCAAAGGACAAAAGGGCUCCAAAGGAGAACAAGGAAGACAAGGUAGAAGUGGACAGAAAGGGGUGCAAGGCAGUCCUAGUUCCAGAGGCAGCAGGGGAAGAGAAGGUCAAAGGGGACUCCGAGGUGUCUCAGGAGAACCAGGAAAUCCUGGACCUACAGGCACAUUGGGAGCUGAAGGAUUACAAGGCCCACAGGGGUCACAGGGAAAUCCUGGCAGAAAAGGAGAAAAAGGAAGCCAGGGGCAGAAAGGACCUCAGGGUUCUCCUGGGCUAAUGGGAGCUAAAGGGAGCACUGGAAGACCUGGACUUUUGGGGAAAAAAGGAGAGCCUGGACUUCCUGGAGAUCUAGGGCCAGUGGGGCAAACUGGGCAGCGAGGAAGACAGGGAGAUUCUGGCAUCCCAGGCUACGGUCAGAUGGGACGAAAAGGAGUAAAGGGCCCAAGAGGAUUCCCUGGAGAUGCGGGGCAGAAGGGUGAUAUUGGUAAUCCUGGAAUUCCUGGGGGACCUGGACCCAAAGGAUUUAGGGGACUAGCACUCACUGUAGGCUUGAAAGGUGAAGAGGGAUCUCGAGGACUCCCAGGCCCUCCUGGACAGAGAGGCAUUAAAGGCAUGGCAGGGCAGCCUGUAUAUUCUCAAUGUGAUCUGAUCCGGUUUUUGCGGGAACAUAGUCCUUGCUGGAAAGAAAAAUGUCCAGCAUAUCCAACAGAGCUAGUAUUUGCUCUGGACAAUUCCUACGAUGUCACAGAAGAGAGCUUUAAUAAAACACGGGACAUCAUCACUUCCAUUGUCAAUGACCUUAACAUCAGGGAAAAUAACUGUCCUGUGGGAGCAAGAGUUGCCAUGGUUUCCUAUAACUCAGGCACCAGCUAUCUCAUCCGCUGGUCUGACUACAAUAGGAAGAAGCAGCUCCUCCAGCAGCUUUCCCAAAUAAAAUAUCAAGACACCACAGAGCCCCGAGAUGUUGGUAAUGCAAUGAGGUUUGUGACCCGCAACGUGUUCAAGCGGACGUAUGCAGGAGCCAACGUGAGGAGAGUUGCUGUGUUUUUUAGCAAUGGUCAAACAGCCAGUAGGUCAUCCAUCAUCACGGCCACCAUGGAGUUUAGUGCCCUGGAUAUCAGUCCAACAGUCUUUGCUUUUGAUGAGAGAGUUUUCCUUGAAGCUUUUGGGUUUGACAACACUGGAACAUUUCAGGUGAUUCCAGUUCCUCCAAAUGGGGAAAAUCAAACAUUAGAAAGACUUCGGCGCUGUGCACUUUGCUAUGAUAAAUGUUUUCCAAAUGCUUGCAUUCGAGAGGCUUUCUUACCUGAAGAUUCAUACAUGGAUGUAGUCUUCCUCAUAGACAAUUCUCGGAAUAUAGCAAAGGAUGAGUUUAAGGCUGUGAAAGCCUUGGUGAGCUCAGUGAUUGACAACUUCAACAUUGCUUCAGACCCUUUAAUCUCAGACUCUGGUGAUAGGAUUGCUUUGUUGAGCUAUUCUCCUUGGGAAAGUUCCAGGAGAAAGAUGGGUACAGUAAAAACAGAGUUUGAUUUCAUCACUUAUGACAACCAACUCCUAAUGAAGAAUCACAUCCAGACUUCCUUCCAACAGCUAAAUGGAGAAGCAACAAUUGGUCGUGCCCUACUGUGGACCACUGAAAAUCUUUUUCCAGAAACACCCUAUCUAAGAAAACACAAGGUCAUCUUUGUGGUCUCAGCUGGAGAAAAUUAUGAGAGAAAAGAAUUUGUAAAAAUGAUGGCUUUGAGGGCUAAGUGUCAAGGCUACGUCAUAUUUGUGAUUUCUCUGGGCUCUACACGUAAGGAUGACAUGGAGGAGUUAGCCAGCUACCCACUUGAUCAACACCUGAUACAGCUUGGGAGAAUACAUAAACCAGAUCUGAAUUAUAUUGCGAAGUUCUUAAAGCCAUUUUUAUACUCGGUCAGGCGGGGAUUCAAUCAGUACCCACCACCGAUGCUUGAGGAUGCCUGUAGACUCAUCAAUUUAGGAGGAGAGAAUAUUCAAAAUGAUGGUUUCCAAUUUGUUACUGAGCUACAAGAGGAUUUUUUGGGAGGUAAUGGCUUCAUUGGCCAAGAAUUAAAUUCUGGGAGAGAAUCACCUUUUGUAAAGACGGAAGACAAUGGAAGUGACUAUUUGGUUUACCUUCCAAGCCAAAUGUUUGAGCCACAAAAAUUAAUGAUCAAUUAUGAAAAAGAUCAAAAAUCUGCAGAAAUUGCAAGUCUCACUUCUGGACAUGAAAAUUAUGGCAGAAAAGAAGAACCAGAUCAUACUUAUGAACCUGGAGAUGUCUCUCUUCAAGAAUAUUACAUGGAUGUGGCUUUCCUCAUAGAUGCUUCCCAAAGAGUAGGAAGUGAUGAGUUUAAGGAAGUAAAAGCUUUUAUAACCUCAGUGCUUGAUUACUUUCACAUUGCCCCCACUCCACUGACCUCCACCUUAGGAGACAGGGUUGCUGUCCUGAGCUACUCUCCUCCAGGCUAUAUGCCUAACACUGAAGAAUGCCCUGUCUACCUGGAAUUUGAUUUGGUUACUUAUAACAGUAUACACCAAAUGAAACAUCAUCUCCAAGACUCUCAACAGCUCAAUGGAGAUGUUUUUAUUGGCCAUGCCUUGCAGUGGACAAUUGACAAUGUCUUUGUAGGAACCCCCAAUCUGAGGAAAAACAAAGUUAUCUUUGUAAUAUCUGCUGGCGAAACCAACUCUUUAGACAAAGACGUCUUAAGGAAUGUGUCUCUGAGAGCCAAGUGUCAAGGCUACUCCAUAUUUGUGUUUUCCUUUGGCCCUAAACACAAUGACAAAGAAUUAGAAGAAUUAGCCAGCCACCCUCUGGAUCAUCACUUGGUCCAACUUGGCCGAACCCACAAGCCAGAUUGGAACUAUAUCAUCAAGUUUGUCAAGCCAUUUGUCCAUUUAAUCAGACGUGCCAUCAACAAAUAUCCCACCGAAGAUAUGAAAGCCACAUGUGUUAACAUGACCUCUCCCAACCCAGAGAACGGUGGCACAGAAAACACUGUAUUACUUCUUCCUGGGAUAUAUGAAAUAAAGACAGAAAAUGGUGAUCUGUUUGAUGAAUUUGAUUCCCAGGCACAACAUCUCCUUGUAUUAGGGAACAAUCAUAGUAGUGGUUCUGAGACAGCUACUGAUUUGAUGCAGAAGUUAUAUCUGCUCUUUUCAACUGAGAAACUGGCAAUGAAAGACAAGGAAAAAGCACAUUUAGAAGAAAUUUCAGCUCUAGUGGUUGAUAAACAGCAAGAAAAAGAAGAUAAGGAAAUGGAAGCUACAGACAUCUGAAGCAUCUUACCUAAGAAUUCAGUAAUUAAUCCAAUACUUUCGUCAUAGUGAUUCAUACUCUAUGUUUAUAGAACAUGGUGAAGAUACAAGGUCAUCAUAGGAGAAAAGAAGAUAGCUCCACUGACAUGUAUAAUCCCAUGUGGUUCUAACCAGAAUGUAUAAUCAUCUGUUAGAGGUACUGUGGUAAAUGACAGGGACUUUUCACAAAAACAAUUGGCUAAUAGCAUGCUAAAUUUGUUCUCCAUCUCAAAUCUUGAGGAGAAGAAUUUUCGGAGUGAAGACAUCAGUAAGAAGACCUGACAAACCAGGAAUGAUUUCAUUUCUCCUGAGAACUGGGGAAACCGACCUAUAAGAGUUAACUUUUCUUUGAAAGCUCUGCACAGUUCAGGCAUCAAUUUUGAUGAUGUAUCUGCCUGUAAAAGAUUGUCAUUAUUUUCAACACAUCUGUAUCUCAGAUUGGACUCCUCUAAAAGCAUUUGGAAUUGGAAUUUCCUAGGAAUAUCUUCUACUAAUUCUUAAAACUGGAAAGCCAUGCCCAUGUCAUCGGUUCUGGGGUGACCCUAACAUUUCAUCUAGCAGUGAUUGUCUUCUAAAACCCACCUGUCAGGCUGCUAUGACCCAUAGUUAAUGCUUUCUCUUCACCAGGACAUUGACAAAAGAAUGGAAUUGGUGAAAAAGAAAAAAGUGAUAAGAGGCUAAUUUUAUGAACCAUAUUUUUUGCUGUAAUCUUUUGUUUAAAUUUUAGCAGCUUUGCUUUGUGUAUACUGAAUUUUUGCAGCAAAAGAAUUACGGAAAAGCACAGAUACUCUAUAUGACCAGAGAUGUUCUUGGGAAUUACAAUGUAGCAAGAGAUAAUUUCUAAAAUAAAAACAAGUCUGACUUGGAA